UGUAAUGACAUUUAGGUGACAAAAAAUCAAACUUUUGUAUCAUCAUCAUUUUCAGCAUACUUUAUUUGUUAACUGUGCCAAAUUUGGCCGAAAAUGAAGUAGUUUUAAUUUUUGAACCAAUUUUAGCCUAAAAUAACAUUUCGGUAACAAGAAAUCAAAAUUUUGAUGUCACCCAUGUUCAGCAUUUGUUAACUGUGCCAAAUUUUGUCGAAAACAAAUACCAAUUUUGGCCUGAAACGUCAUUUAAAUGAAUUCCCAGUACUUAGAGAGCUUGGGUACGAAGUUUAAAUCUGUGACGUUGCAGUUGACCAUUUGGGACAAGGUUAGUUAGUUAGUCAGUUAUACCAAUACUAUCCUCCUCUCAGAGGAACGUGAAAUCCCAGGGUCGAUUUUUCUCAAAAAUUGCUCCGAAAGAAAAAAACGACGGUUUUAAAGAAUUUCCUACGCCUUCGGGCGCGGAAAUUCAAAAAAAUCGCUUUUAGAUAAACACAUUGGCUACAGCACAGUAGCACUCUCCCUUGUAGAUCUUCUGUAGUUUUGUAAAAGAGAUUUGAAAUGUAAUAGAUGGUAUACGAAAAAAACAACACCACGAAAAAGUGUUUUAAAGAUUUUUUAAAAUAUCACACCUUUCAAGCAUACUCAUAAUGAUGGUGAUACUUUCACACUUCCGGGGCGAUCAUUGUUCAGAAGGUUGUCCUUUUAAAUUUUAUUAUUCGUAAAGACGUGACAGAGAAUACCAUAGAAAUAGAACUUUCUAAGUCGUUUAACAUUUUUCUGUGACUUGUAGACACAGAACAGGAUGGCAUACAUUUUUAGAAAGGAAAGUGUUUUUUUUUUCAGAUGCAAUGGUCAUUUCUUUUCGGAAAGGAAAUGUAAUUUAUUUUUAAAAGUUAUACUCAAGAGGAUGAUAAGUGUUAAAACAUUCACUCUUAACUCUUAUUCAAUUUAAGGUGUGAAAGACCGAUCGGAAAAAAAAGUUAGUUAAACAAUAUUCCCCUUCGAAAAAUAAAUAAAUAGUUUCACCAUUGGAAAGAUCGUCGUUUCUUUAGUAUAAAUGGCCAAUAAAAAAAAUCGAUUUUUUGAUACAAUAAAGGUAUACCGUCACCUUAAAUUAACUUUU